rnacentral:rRNA from 1 species
CACGUAGUUAGCCGGGGCUUCUUGGUCAGGUACCGUCUUUGUUCUUCCCUGCUGAUAGAGCUUUACAUACCGGAGUACUCCUUCACUCACGCGGCGUCGCUGCAUCAGGGUUCCCCCCAUUGUGCAAUAUCCCCCACUGCUGCCUCCCGUAGGAAUUUGGGCCGUGUCUCAGUCCCAAUGUGGCCGGUCACCCUCUCAGGUCGGCUACCGAUCGUCGCCUUGGUGGGCCGUUACCCCACCAACCAGCUGAUCGGACGCGGGUCCAUCCUAUACCACCGGAGUUUUCCGCACUGUCCCAUGCGGGACUGUGCGCUCAUGCGGUAUUAGCAGCCAUUUCUAGCUGUUAUCCCCCAGUAUAGGGCAGGUUACCCACGCGUUACUCACCCGUCCGCCACUAAGUCAUGGCCCCUUCCGCCCGAAGGCCUCAAGGGUCAUGCUUCGUUCGACUUGCAUGUGUUAGGCACGCCGCCAGCGUUCAUCCUGAGCCAGGAUCAAACUCU